GGCGAACGGGUGAGGAACACGUAAGAAACCUGCCCUUAAGACGAGGAUAACUAUUGGAAACGAUAGCUAAUACUGGAUAGGAUAUAAGGCCGCAUGGUCUAAUAUUUAAAGGGAGCCUUCAAGCUCCGCUUAGGGAUGGUCUUGCGCAGCAUUAGCUAGUUGGUAGGGUAACGGCCUACCAAGGCGACGAUGCUUAGCUGGUCUGAGAGGAUGAACAGCCACACUGGGACUGAGACACGGCCCAGACUCC
rnacentral:rRNA from 1 species